rnacentral:rRNA from 1 species
CGGACGGGUGAGUAACACGUGGAUAACCUACCUAUAAGACUUGUAUAACUUCGGGAAACCGGAGCUAAUACCGGAUAAUAUUUUGAACCGCAUGGUUCAAAAGUGAAAGACGGUCUUGCUGUCACUUAUAGAUGGAUCCGCGCUGCAUUAGCUAGUUGGUAAGGUAACGGCUUACCAAGGCAACGAUGCAUAGCCGACCUUAGAGGGUGAUCGGCCACACUGGAACUGAGACACGGUCCAG